GGAAGCAAACAGUACCUCUUGUUCCGCAAUGCUACUUUCCGAGCUAAGCAACUUUUAUGAACAAAAUCAUUGUGACAUUUCAUCAUGAAAAAUCUGUUAUUCUGAUGGUAGCUAUGAAUGAAGUGGCCAUAAAAGAGCUAAGAUUUACAAGGAACUGAGCAAUUCUUCUUGGGAACGGCUCCACAGGAAACCACAGCGGUGCCACUAUGAAGUGUAAUAUACAGGUACAACGAGGGCCAACAAAAACAGAACAAGAAAAAAAGGAAGGGUUACAGCUAAGCUCCCAGUGACUGCUCCAGGCCUACACACAGCAGGGUGAGCUCCCAAUGACUGAUCCAGCCCUACACACAGCAGGGUGAGCUCCUAGUGACUGAUCCAGCCAUACACAUAGCAGGGUGAGCUCCCAGUGACUGAUCCAGCCCUACACACAGCAGGGUGAGCUCCCAGUGACGGAUCCAGCCCUACACACAGCAGGGUGAGCUCCCAGUGACGGAUCCAGCCCUACACACAGCAGGACUGUCUUUGUCUUCCUGUUCUACAGCUCCAUGGAAACCACCCCAAAACAGUUAUAUCAGUUAACACCAAAGUAUUUUACAGAUCAUUAAAUUAUGCAAAAGCAACAUUAUAUAUAAGAUGACGAA